rnacentral:rRNA from 1 species
UAUUUAGCUUUGUGUAGGUAAACUAAGUUCAGGAAAAAACUACCCUAUGACCGUACCAACUCUAACGCAUGAAAAUUAGUUGAAUAAAUGACAGCAAAGGGGGAACUAAUAUUGAAGGAACUCGGCAACUUGACCCCGUAACUUCGGAAUAAGGGGGACUUUAAAGUUAAAAAAGAGGAAGUGGCGACUGUUUAAUAAAACAUAAGAUUUUGCUAAAUUGAAAGAUGACGUAUAAAAUCUGACGCCUGCCCAGUGCUGCAAGACAAACAUUUCAGGUAUUUGCUUGAAAUAUAAGUUCCAGUAAACGGCGGCCGUAACCCUGACGGUCCAAAGGUAGCAAAAUUCCUUGACGGGGUAAAUUCCGUCCCGCACGAAUGGCGUAACGACUGCUUCGCUGUCUCCAGUAUUAUCCUUGUGAAUUUUGAAUUAGUCGUGAAGAUGCGAUCGAUACAGCUAGACGGAAAGACCCCUAUGCACCUUUACUGCGACCUAUUUCU